rnacentral:misc_RNA from 1 species
GUACAUCAUGCAAAAAAUGAAGAGUUUUAGGUCAAAUAUUUACAACAUAGAGGUCCUUCUCCUUCUCAAAAGCCUUCCUAUCUUUUUUCUUUCCUUCAAACUAACCAGAUAAUAAUAUAUGAGGGUUCAACUUUCUCUGUUUUUGUUCAUGCAAUUAUUGAUCUUCAUGCCUACAAACCAGACGUGCUACUGUCUAGUAGACAUGGAUGUGGUCCGGUUCUGGUCCUCAGGGCUGAGUACCUAGGACUGAACCGAACGAUUCCCUCAGUUCCAGUCCAGUUUGAUCAAAUCCAAUGGUUAAUUUAAAAAACAAAAAAUUGAAAGAGAAAAAGUUUAUCAAAAUCGAUCCAGUUCAGAACUUUUCUGGAGUUUUAGUUAAAAUCUCUCCCAGGCAUCCUUUGUGAAGUUCAAGGAAGAUUUAUUCUGUACUUGUCAUGGCUUUCCUGAUACUAGCUCUGCACAUUGAGCUACAGAACCUCCACCCAGCAUUUUGCUUUUAAAUCUAAAUUUUGAAUUUCUCUAUUUGACAUAAAUCUUUUAUCAUGUUGUUUUUAUUGUCCUGUUUGAUAAGGGGAAGAGGUACCUUUGGUCUU